GAUGAACGCUGGCGGCGUGCCUAAUACAUGCAAGUCGAGCGAACGGACGAGAAGCUUGCUUCUCUGAUGUUAGCGGCGGACGGGUGAGUAACACGUGGAUAACCUACCUAUAAGACUGGGAUAACUUCGGGAAACCGGAGCUAAUACCGGAUAAUAUUUUGAACCGCAUGGUUCAAAAGUAAAAGACGGUCUUGCUGUCACUUAUAGAUGGAUCCGCGCUGCAUUAGCUAGUUGGUAAGGUAACGGCUUACCAAGGCAACGAUGCAUAGCCGACCUGAGAGGGUGAUCGGCCACACUAGAACUGAGACACGGUCCAGACUCCUACGGGAGGCAGCAGUAGGGAAUCUUCAGCAAUGGGCGAAAGCCUGACGGAGCAACGCCGCGUGAGUGAUGAAGGUCUUCGGAUCUUAAAACUCUGUUAUUAGGGAAGAACAUAUGUGUAAGUAACUGUGCACAUCUUGACGGUACCUAAUCAGAAAGCCACGGCUAACUACGUG
rnacentral:rRNA from 1 species